UACAGAGGGGGCAAGCGUUGUUCGGAAUUACUGGGCGUAAAGGGCGCGUAGGCGGCCUUCUAAGUCGAACGUGAAAUCCCCGGGCUCAACCCGGGAACUGCGUCCGAUACUGGAAGGCUUGAAUCCGGGAGAGGGAUGCGGAAUUCCAGGUGUAGCGGUGAAAUGCGUAGAGAUCAGGAAGAACACCGGUGGCGAAAGCGCUCUGCUGGACCUUAACUGACACUGAGGGACGAAAGCUAGGGGAGCGAAUGGG
rnacentral:rRNA from 1 species